GCGAUGCGAGCAACAGAGGGCAGCGCCGCGAUGGAUGGAGCGACGCCUGUUGGAUCGACCUAAAGUCACCAGGCGACAUCGAGGGGUUCUCUCGCCGCUGUUCGUCCCUCCCCACCGCUGCAGGCCUCCUCGUCGGCAGCCCCGUCCUCACAGGCCCAGCGCUCUUCCUCUCCCCCUCUCCUCACAUUUUUCUAUGUCUUCCCGUUCAAUCCCCUUUCAUAGUCAUGUAUAAAUUAUACUGUUCUUAAUUUCAGUUACUUGGUUGCAUAGAUCAUUGCUAUUUUUUUUUCAGUUUUUGACAGUGUGAUUGACCGACUAGCUUGGGUUUGUUCGUGGGUAUUUGAUUACUCUGGUUUACCCCAAAAAUUGUGAUGCUAUUUUAGUUUUAUUUACAAUUCUGUGUUUGAUGCAAACAUGAGUCCUGUACAGGGGAAGGAGUUGGGAGACUUCCUAAAAUCUUGGUGAAGAACAGGGUAAUCUUUUCUUCUUCUCGUAUGUUCUUGCCAUCCCUUUUCUGAUUUUUUUUUCCUUGUUGGUUGCUCCAGGCACGAGGAGUGCAUACACAUGUAGGAAAUAUAAGAGGAGGAAGAAGCUACAAAAGAAAAUUUCUGAAGAAGAAGCCGGAGGUUUCAUAACCUCUUGCUUUGCAUAAUAAACCAUUAUAAGCUCCUUUUGUAAAUCAUGUCGUAGUUUACCCAUCACCCCAAAAGAAUGUUAUAUCAGAUGCAUAAUUGUGCCAUUCAAAUUUAAUCUUCAGUAGAUUAUCAACCACCCAAGAUGAAUUUUACAGACUUAGGCUUUACAUUUUUAUUUUUUGGUUAUUGAAUCUGUUUCAUAAUAGCAACUGCAUGUGUUCAUAUAUAUAUAACCUGUAAUAAGGAUUUUCUACUUUCCAAGAUUUGGGCGAAGGUAAAAACAAAGAUUUAAAUGUCCAUUUAUCUGAAUGUCACCUUACUUUGUUGCUCUGAUUGGAAGGUAUAAUGGAAAUACAUCCCCUAUCACACUUCCAUUUUCCUUUGAUUCAUAUCUGUGACCCCUGCGUUGAUUUCUGUUGGCUUGGUUUGAUACCUUCUUGAUUUUGUCCAUGUCAGGAAGUAUUGUGCUGUGGUGGUGGUCUGCUAUCAAAACCAAAGUUGCAGGCAUGUAGAAAUAUGUACCGAGAAUAUUACUCCUCCCCUGCAGAUGUACCAAAAGUGUGCCAUUUUCUGAAGUGUGAGCUGUCUUUGCAUGUCUGCUGCUUCCAUGAGAUGGAUCGACAUAAAUUGGUGCUUCUCUAUAGUUUAUGCAUUUCUGGUCUGGUAAAGCGUAUAGAGAGAAGGAUGAUAAUCUGUCCAAGUAAUAUACAAAGCAUUGUUGCAUGGAGGCGGAAGCUUAUGCAUACCUUAAUUAUCUUGGAACAUCGGUCGAUGAUAUUUGCAAUAUGUAGUGCUCUGAAGUAAUACUUCAGUCUAGCAUAGUUCGGAGUUCAUGCUGCUUCUGAAUUUCUUUCAUGUGAGCAUCUUUUGUCUAUAAACUUCUAAAGCACGUCUGUUAAAGUCUUGCUCAUCUUUCCAUAGGAAUAUCUUUCAUGUAAGAAUCAUGAUCCAUGCACUAUAUAAGAUGCUGUUUUGUACUUCUUGUUCUAAAUUAAUUGUUACAUAUGUA